rnacentral:rRNA from 1 species
GACGAACCGUGCAAACGUUAUUCGGAAUCACUGGGCAUAAAGCGCACGUAGGCGGCACCGCAAGUGUGGGGUGAAAUCCCACGGCUUACCCGUGGAACUGCCUGGCAGACUGCGGUGCUAGAGGUUGGUAGGGGAGAGCGGAACUCUUGGUGGAGCGGUGAAAUGCGUAGAUAUCAAGAGGAACACCGGUGGCGAAGGCGGCUCUCUGGUCCAAUCCUGACGCUGAGGUGCGAAAGCUAGGGGAGCAAACGGG